UACGGAGGGGGCUAGCGUUGUUCGGAAUUACUGGACGUAAAGCGCGCGCAGGCGGUCUUCCAAGUCAGUGGUGAAAGCCCGGAGCUCAACUCCGGAAUUGCCAUUGAAACUGUUAGACUUGAGGAUGAGAGAGGUGAGUGGAAUUCCCAGUGUAGAGGUGAAAUUCGUAGAUAUUGGGAAGAACACCGGUGGCGAAGGCGGCUCACUGGCUCAUUACUGACGCUCAGGCGCGAUAGCGUGGGGAUCAAACAGG
rnacentral:rRNA from 1 species